UACGUAGGGGGCGAGCGUUGUCCGGAAUUACUGGGCGUAAAGCGCACGUAGGUGGCUUGCUAAGAUGGGCGUGAAAUCCCCGGGCUUACCUCGGGGGGGUCGUCCGUGACUGGCCGGCUUGGGUGUGGGAGAGGCAGGUGGAAUUCCCGGUGGAGCGGUGAAAUGCGUAGAGAUCGGGAGGAACACCAGUGGCGAAGGCGACCUGCUGGGCCAUUACCGACACUGAGGUGCGAAAGCGUGGGGAGCGAACCGG
rnacentral:rRNA from 1 species